CCUACGGGAGGCAGCAGUGGGGAAUAUUGGGCAAUGGAGGCAACUCUGAACCAGCAACGCCGCGUGAACGAUGAAGGUCUUCGGAGUGUAAAGUUCUGUGAUGGGGGAUGAACACAAUGACGGUACCCCAAUAGCAAGCCACGGCUAACUACGUGCCAGCAGUAGCGGUAAUCCGUAGGGGGCAAGCUUUCUGCGGAAUGGAUGGGCGUAAAGGUUGCGUAGGUGGUUUAGUAAGUUGGCGGUGUAAUUCCGGGGCUCAACCUCGGCGCUACCGCCAAAACUAGUAGACUAGAGUGCAGGAGGGGUAAGUGGAAUGCGGGGUGUAGCGGUGGAAUGCGUAGAUAUUAGGAAGAACAUCAAGGGCGAAGGCGACUUACUGGACUGUCACUGACACUGAGGCACGAAAGCGUGGGGAGCAAACAGGAUUAGAUACCCCGGUAGUC
rnacentral:rRNA from 1 species